UCCGGUGAAGAUGCCGGAUACCUGCGACAGGACGGAAAGACCCCAUGGAGCUUUACUGUAGCUUGACAUUGGGUCUUGGUACUACAUGUACAGGAUAGGUGGGAGGCUUUGAAACCAGGACGCCAGUUUUGGCGGAGCCAUCCUUGGGAUACCACCCUUGUAGUACUGGGACUCUAACCAUAGGCCAUGAAUCUGGUCUUGGGACACUGUCAGGUGGGCAGUUUGACUGGGGCGGUCGCCUCCCAAAAGGUAACGGAGGCGCUCAAAGGUUCUCUCAGUACGGUCGGAAAUCGUACGUAGAGUGUAAAGGCAAAAGAGAGCUUGAUUGCAAGACAUACAGGUCGAGCAAGGAUGAAAAUCGGACUUAGUGAUCCGGUGGUUCUGCGUGGAAGGGCCAUCGCUCAACGGAUAAAAGCUACCCUGGGGAUAACAGGCUUAUCUCCCCCAAGAGUCCACAUCGACGGGGAGGUUUGGCACCUCGAUGUCGGCUCAUCACAUCCUGGGGCUGUAGUAGGUCCCAAGGGUUGGGCUGUUCGCCCAUUAAAGUGGUACGCGAGCUGGGUUCAGAACGUCGUGAGACAGUUCGGUCCCUAUCCGUCGCAGGCGUAGGAAAUUUGAGAAGACCUGUCCUUAGUACGAGAGGACCGGGAUGGACGUACCUCUGGUGUACCAGU
rnacentral:rRNA from 1 species